GAGAGAGAGAGAGAGAGAGCGAGUGAAGAGAGAAGAGAGAGAGAGAGAGAGAGAGAGAGAGAGCGAGCGCAUCACCCUCACACAGCUGCCAGCAUUCUUAUGCAAACGUCAGUGCAUUCUUCCUCGGACAACAGGACAGGACACAAUGAGCAAAAAACCCAACAGCUUCCUUCAAGCUGAAGAAGUUGACAGCUUACAGGCCAGGAGUCUAAAACGAAGACUUUAAUGAGGACCAACGGUUUAGACACUCGGUGGAAACGACUAAAUGAACCGAGUGUCACACAAACGUCUCCACGCCAUAUCUCAUAUCUCCUGAUCUGGACCAAGCCGUGAGAACUGGGGACCGAGCGCUGUCUGAAGACCUCCACCUGCCUGAGGCUCUCACUAGUGAGGGAAAGAUGAAGCAAGCGCCACCUGCGUGACUCGAACUUUUAACUACUCAAAAAGUAUUCCUUUAAACCUAGAACAAACCUCCUUCUUUCAAGUUUCUCCUAAACCCACGCACACACACACACACACACACACACACACACACACACAAUGCUUGCUGUGUUUGUUUUCUUCACUUAGUUCCAGUACAGACUUUACAGUACUCCCAAUUUUCCUAGCUCUGCUAUUUUGCUUUGGUUCCUUUCUUUAAGAACUCUUCAGGACAUGAACUAUGCUGGACCAAGAGCCAAUCGUAGGAAAAGAUCUUUAACCUCCACCAAGCGGCAACCUAGAUAUCGAGCAUUAAUCACUGCCCUGUGUACUUAUCUUUCACAUACACCUCACAUGAGAAUGAAUAGUGUACAUAUAAUAAUAAUGACCUCUAUCUGAUCAGAAGACAGGUAUACAAUUCGUUCGCCUCGCACCUCCAGGGUCGGGGGUUCGAUUCCCGUCUCUGUCCUGUGUGUGUGGAGUUUGCAUGUUCUCCCCGUGCUGCGGGGGUUUCCUCCGGGUACUCCGGUUUCCUCCCCCAGUCCAAACACAUGCAUGGUAGGCUGAUUGGCGUGUCUAAAGUGUCCGUAGUGUAUGAGUGUGUGUGUGAUUGUGCCCUGCGAUGGAUAGGCACCCUGUCCAGGCUGUACCCCACCUUGUGCCCCAUGCCCCCUGGGAUAGGCUCCAGGUUCCCC
ensembl:lncRNA